CCUACGGGAGGCAGCAGUAGGGAAUCUUCCGCAAUGGACGAAAGUCUGACGGAGCAACGCCGCGUGAGCGAAGAAGGUCUUCGGAUCGUAAAGCUCUGUUGUUAGGGAAGAACAAGUAUCGGAGGAAAUGCCGGUACCUUGACGGUACCUGACGAGAAAGCCACGGCUAAUUACGUGCCAGCAGCCGCGGUAAU
rnacentral:rRNA from 1 species